UGUUUUUUAGACUGUUUGGUAGCUCUUCCCAUUGCUGCUAGACAUCAGAUAGCUGUUGUGAUCCUGCUUUUGUGUGGCUGUUUUUCAAAGUGCUUGAUAGCUUCUUUGACUACAGUUAUCAAUCUGUUGCUUGGGGUUUUAAAUUUCUGUGCAUAAUGCGUAAAAGGAGAUAGCAAACGAAAUCAGAUGAUGCAAGAAGCUCAUAGUUUUGCCAUUUCAAACGAGUUAAAACCUUUUGAAUGGAGAAGAAGGAACAUCAGCCAGCUACGCAACAAAUGCAGCAACAGCUAGAUGCCCUUGCAAGAAACAUCAAAAAAGAAAAAUCCAUGUCCACCACCCAUUAAAAUAUAGAUAGAUGCCUGAACAAGUUUUUUUAAACAAUAUGCAGCUCAAGGCUGCUCAUAUUUUGAUGUUUUAAUAGCUGCUUGACUAAGCAUGAUGGCACUGUUUAGAUCUCAAUUUAUAUAUAAAUAGGGCCAGUAUUUUAAAAUAAUAAGCAGCACAUAUGUCAUCUUAUUAAUUUAUC